rnacentral:rRNA from 1 species
UACGUAGGGGGCAAGCGUUAUCCGGAAUUACUGGGUGUAAAGGGAGCGUAGACGGUAAUGUAAGUCUGGAGUGAAAGGCGGGGGCCCAACCCCCGGACUGCUCUGGAAACUAUGUUACUGGAGUGCAGGAGAGGUAAGCGGAAUUCCUAGUGUAGCGGUGAAAUGCGUAGAUAUUAGGAGGAACACCAGUGGCGAAGGCGACUUUCUGGACUGUACCUGACGCUGAGGCGCGAAAGCGUGGGUAGCGAACGGG